ACGGUUUUACUUUACAACAUCACAUUGAUCCUCUUUGUCUUUUACUUUUCAAAGAGGAAAAAAGGCUUUUCAUCUCUCCUCAGGAAAUACGCAAUGAGAUCAGUGAGCUGUCAGUAUAAAAUGGAUGUUGCUGGUGUUUAUCAUGGUAGGAGGCAUUAAAUGAAUUACAUCGGGUCCGUGGAACUGAUGAUACAGCUGAGGAACGAGGAAGAAGUGGCAGACACAGCAGCCACCAGACCGAGCUGAUUUCCUUAGGCAGGUAUGCUGUGGUAACCUCUAAUGAAGACACUUAGUGGGAGGCUACAAGCAGGCACUGGACAUCUAAUGAAAUCAGCUGGAACUUGUUCUCAGAAGAACUAAAUAAAAUCUGAACACCUGAUUCAGGUUUUGGUCCAUAAUAUAUAACAGUAAAAAAAGUGACGCAUUCCCUAGUAAUGAAUUAUGGAGUACAUGAUAACAUCUCAGACCCUCAUCUCCUCCAGGCACAUAAGAACUGCCUGGUAAUGCCUGUAUCAGAGCAAUUAUGUCUUAAAUUAUGAAUAUGACUAGCCAAAGAACACACAGGCUGAUCCUCAGCUGGAGUUAUGACAAUUUAAAACAGCUGAAGACCUCUCCAUUGGAUUACAUUGUUACCAAUGGAUCUGAGGGGAAAAA